UACGAGGGAUGCAAGCGUUAUCCGGAAUUAUUGGGCGUAAAGCGUUUGUAGGCGGGCGAGUGUGUUUAAUGUUAAAUCUUAAAGCUCAACUUUGAAAUUGCGUUAAAAACUGCUUGUCUUGAGUAUGGUAGGGGUAAAGGGAAUUCCCAGUGUAGCGGUGAAAUGCGUAGAUAUUGGGAAGAACACUAAACAGCGAAGGCACUUUACUAGGCUAAUACUGACGCUGAGAAACGAAAGGUAAGGUAGCGAAACGGAUUAGAUACCCGUGUAGUCUUACCCGUAAACUAUGGACACUAAACGGUAAAUUUUUAAUUUACUGUUAAAGCUAACGCGUUAAGUGUCCCGCCUGGGGAGUAUGCUUGCAAAAGUGAAACUCAAAGGAAUUGACGGGGGCCCGCACAAGCGGUGGAGCAUGUGGUUUAAUUCGACGGUACACGAAGAACCUUACCAGGAUUUGACAUGCUAGAUAGUUGCUUGAAAGAGUAACGUGCCGUAAGGAAUCUAGACACAGGUGGUGCAUGGCUGUCGUCAGUUCGUGUUGUGAAAUGUUGGGUUAAGUCCCGCAACGAACGCAACCCUUGUCUUUAGUUAUUUUCUAAAGAGACUGCCUGUAAUAAACAGGAGGAAGGUAAGGAUGAGGUCAAGUCAUCAUGCCCCUUAUGUCCUGGGCUACACACGUGCUACAAUGGGAAAGACAAUGAGCUGCAAAUCUGUAAAUUUAAGCAAAUCUCUUAAACUUUCUCGUAGUUCGGAUUGUGGGCUGCAACUCGCCCACAUGAAGUUGGAAUCGCUAGUAAUCGCCAGUCAGCUAUAUGGCGGUGGAUCCGUUCCCGGGCCU
rnacentral:rRNA from 1 species